rnacentral:tRNA from 1 species
GCUGUGGUUGUUCAAUGGUAGAAUUCUUAUCUCCCAUGCAGGAGACCCAGGUUCGAUUCCUGGCCAAUGCA